UGGGGAAUUGUUCGCAAUGGGCGCAAGCCCGACGACGCAACGCCGCGUGGGGGAUGAAGGUCUUCGGAUUGUAAACCCCUGUUGGGUGGGACGAACACUUUCGUGGUGAAUAGCCAUGGAGGCUGACGGUACCACCGGAGGAAGCCCCGGCUAACUCUGUGCCAGCAGCCGCGGUAAUACAGAGGGGGCAAGCGUUGUUCGGAAUUACUGGGCGUAAAGGGCGCGUAGGCGGCCUGUUAAGUCGGACGUGAAAUCCCUCGGCUCAACCGGGGAACUGCGUCCGAUACUGGCGGGCUUGAAUUCGGGAGAGGGAUGUGGAAUUCCAGGUGUAGCGGUGAAAUUCGUAGAUAUUCGGAAGAACACCAGUGGCGAAGGCGACUGACUGGACAAGUAUUGACGCUGAGGUGCGAAAGCGUGGGGAGCAAA
rnacentral:rRNA from 1 species